AAUAUGGUAUAGGUAAAUUAAUUAAUAAAAAUUAAUUAUGGUAAGAAUUGUGUAUACCAGUUAAAGACAUUAUACCAAAUAGAAAUAUUUAUUUAGUAAAUAUUAUAUUUGUAAUUUAUUAGGUGCCAGCAAUUGCGGUCAUACCUAAGCAGAUUUAAUUUAUUUUGUGUUAAAAGUUAUUUAAUUUAUUAUUUAAAAUAGUAAAGUAAUAUUUAUUGGUAAAAUAUAAAUUUAUGAAAAGUAAGAUUAAAUAUUAAGUAGACUAUAAAUAAGGAAUCUAAACAUUUAAACUAGGAUUAGAUACCCUACUAUACUAGAAGUAUUUCAUAUAACAUGGGGAAUAGUAUAUUUAAUAUAUAAACCUAAAAAUUAUGGCGGCUAUUAAAAAUUUUAGGGGAACUUAUUUACAUAAUAUGAUAACCACCAAGAGUAAUAUACAUAAGUUAGAUAAAGGUUUGUAUACCGUCGUCAUAAAAAUUUUUUUUAAAAAAAUUUUCGAAGUAACCUAGCAAUAUAGGACAGAUCAAGGUGCAGCUUAUACUUAUGAGAUAGACGAGUUACAAUAUGUAUGUACUUUCGGAUAUAUUAUUUAAAAUUAAUAAGAAGAUGGACUUAAAAGUAAGUUAAAAUUGAGAUAUUAUUUGUUGAAUAAAAAUUUCAUAGUGCACAAAUCGCCCGUCACUCUCGUUGGAAAGUGAGAUAAGUCGUAACAUAGUAGAUAUAGCGGAAGCUGUCUCUUGUAUAAAACUAUACAUGAAAGUCUAUAUAG
rnacentral:rRNA from 1 species